rnacentral:rRNA from 1 species
GUAGGUGGCAAGCGUUGUCCGGAAUUAUUGGGCGUAAAGCGCGCGCAGGCGGUCCUUUAAGUCUGAUGUGAAAGCCCACGGGCUCAACCGUGAGGGUCAUUGGAAACUGGGGGACUUGAGUACAGAAGAGGAAAGCGGAAUUCCAAGUGUAGCGGUGAAAUGCGUAGAGAUUUGGAGGAACACCAGUGGCGAAGGCGGCUUUCUGGUCUGUAACUGACGCUGAGGCGCGAAAGCGUGGGGAGCAAACAGGAUUAGAUACCCUGGUAGUCCACGCCGUAAACGAUGAGUGCUAAGUGUUAGGGGGUUUCCGCCCCUUAGUGCUGCAGCUAACGCAUUAAGCACUCCGCCUGGGGAGUACGGCCGCAAAGGCUGA